rnacentral:misc_RNA from 1 species
GAUGAAGAACGUAGCGAAAUGCGAUAAGUAAUGUGAAUUGCAGAAUUCAGUGAAUCAUCGAAUCUUUGAACGCAUCUUGCGCUCCUUGGUAUUCCGAGGAGCAUGCCUGUUUGAGUGUCAUUUAACUUCUCAACCACAUUGGAUAUUUUUUUUCCGAUGCCGGCUUGGAUGUGGGGGUUGUUUGCAGGCUUUUUGUAACAAAAAAGGUCGGCUCCCCUGAAAUGUAUUAGUGGUAUCUGAGGCUAUUACUAUUAGGUGUGAUAAUUAUCUAUGCCUUUUGGGUAUGCCGCAUGAACAGAUUAUGCUGCUUCUAACGAAAACUAUUUUGAUGAAUUUGACCUCAAAUCAGGUAGGACUACCCACUGAACUUAAGCAUAUCAAUAAGCGGAGGA